GACGAACGCUGGCGGCGUGCUUAACACAUGCAAGUCGAACGGAAAGGCCCUGCUUUUGUGGGGUGCUCGAGUGGCGAACGGGUGAGUAACACGUGAGUAACCUGCCCUUGACUUUGGGAUAACUUCAGGAAACUGGGGCUAAUACCGGAUAGGAGCUCCUGCUGCAUGGUGGGGGUUGGAAAGUUUCGGCGGUUGGGGAUGGACUCGCGGGUUAUCAGCUUGUUGGUGGGGUAGUGGCUUACCAAGGCUUUGACGGGUAGCCGGCCUGGGAGGGUGACCGGCCACAUUGGGACUGAGAUACGGCCCAGACUCCUACGGGAGGCAGCAGUGGGGAAUAUUGCACAAUGGGCGGAAGCCUGAUGCAGCAACGCCGCGUGCGGGAUGACGGCCUUCGGGUUGUAAACCGCUUUCGCCUGUGACGAAGCGUGAGUGACGGUAAUGGGUAAAGAAGCACCGGCUAACUACGUG
rnacentral:rRNA from 1 species